GCUCAGGCGNCGAUAGUUAUCUGGUCUGAGAGGAUGAUCAGCCACACUGGAACUGAGACACGGNCCAGACUCCUACGGGAGGCAGCAGUGGGGAAUUUUCCGCAAUGGGCGAAAGCCUGACGGAGCAANNCCGCGUGAGGGAUGAANGCCUNCUGGGCUGUNAACCUCUUUUUUCAAGGAAGAAAAUCUGACAGUACUUGAUGAAUAAUCCACGGCGUAAUUCCUUGCCACCAGCCGCGGCUAAUACGANGAGNGGANNCCGUUAUCCUCCAAUUAUUGUUGCGUANAAGNCGUCC
rnacentral:rRNA from 1 species